UCUUCCUUUCCUCUGCUCGACAAGAAGCAACUGCAAAACACACAAACACAACUGAAAAUCAUUCCUAAUUUCACUCCCACUAACAGACCACGUUAUUGGUGGUUACAGCAAUUCUCAUCUUCUAUAUAAAUGUUCUUCAACAUUCUCUAAACGCAAAAAAAUGCACCUGAAAACAUCUUUUAUUUUCAAUUACCAAUGUCCCACCAGAUCCAUAUGUUCUGUUAGAAAUCCCUUUCAACUUCACAAAGGUAAAUUCCUUUGAAAACAUCAAUUCUCACGGAGUUGCAACAUGCCUCUCGAGUUUACUCAUCUCUCUAAUCUAAAUUCUUAAAAAGAGAAUAGAAGAUCAGACUUCUAAUAGCCAGGACAUGGAAUAUCAGAGCUCUAAAAGCCUCUAUUUGCUUCUCGAUUCUAAAAAAGGCUAGGCUGUGAUCAAACAAAUCCAAGGAAUCCAAGCUUACGUUUGUGUACAAACAAGCCACGAGAGUGUUUUCGAGAUAACAACAAAUGUGCCUUACAUCAGCAAAUUUGGUAAAAAUCCAGUUACAAGAGCAUCAUUGGAAGGAGAAGAUUUGAUUCCUCUCAUCUUUCACAUGUACUAUGAAGGAGAGUAUCACUGUCCUAUUCUGCAACAAAAGUCUUCACUGAAUUUACAAAUAUAGUUGCCGUGAAGACUACCGGAAAUGUGUUAUGCUACGAGGUUUGUGUUUUUUGCACUUUUUAUAGUCAAAAGUCAUCUUUCUUUCUUUUAUUUUUGCAUAUAUAAAUUUAGGCAAUCAAAGAAUUAAAUAUCAAUAUUAAGAAUUGGAAGGAGCAUUUAACAGAAGAACCGUUCACAAGAGUACACCCUAUAACGAUUUUAGAGUGGAGUAAAUGGGUGACACGGAAACCAACUAGAGUCUUAGCUUUCAUGUAUAAAGCCAGAGAAAUUCUUCAAGUUGAUUGUUGUAAUUUAUAAGUGUUUGUGGUUGUAGCAAAUUCAAGAGUAAAAAAGUAUGCCUAAUUCAACAAGCUUUGUUUUUAUGAUAAAUUUAAACAAAUUUUAUUUCACUUUAUCUUUGACUUGCAUCAUAUUGAUAUAUCCAUGUCUCUGAAGAUUAAUUCUUAAUCCACAAAAGAGAACUUUAAGAGGUGUU